rnacentral:rRNA from 1 species
GUCCACGCCGUAAAACGAUGGGUGCUAGGUGUGGGGGGUGUCGACUCCCUCCGUGCCGAAGCUAACGCAUUAAGCACCCCGCCUGGGGAGUACGGCCGCAAGGCUAAAACUCAAAGGAAUUGACGGGGGCCCGCACAAGCAGCGGAGCAUGUGGUUUUAAUUCGACGCAACGCGAAGAACCUUACCUAGGCUUGACAUGCACGGGAAUGUCCGGGGAAACUCGGCAGCCCUUCGGGGCUCGUGCACAGGUGUUGCAUGGCUGUCGU